rnacentral:miRNA from 1 species
UAUAUGCACAUGUAUGUAUAUGCGAGUGCAUGUAUGCAUGUAUGUGUGUGUACAUAUACAUUCACACACAUGUAUGUCCAUGCACACACACACACACACAAA